GACAGAGGUGGCGAGCGUUGUUCGGAAUUACUGGGCUUAAAGGGCGAGUAGGCGGUGGAGCAAGUCUGAGGUGGAAGCCUACGGCUUAACCGUAGAACUGCCUUAGAAACUGUUUUACUUGAGUCAGUGAGGGGAGGGCGGAAUUCCUGGUGUAGCGGUGAAAUGCGUAGAUAUCAGGAGGAAGGCCUGUGGCGAAAGUGGCCCUCUGGCACUGUACUGACGCUGAGGCGCGAAAGCGUGGGGAGCAAACAGGAUUAGAUACCCUGGUAGUCCACGCCCUAAACGGUGGGCAUUAGGUGUAGGGCUCGUAAGGGUUCUGUGCCGAAGGGAAACCAUUAAAUGCCCCGCCUGGGGAGUACGGCCGCAAGGUUGGA
rnacentral:rRNA from 1 species